GGCGAAACCAAUGAACCUUUGAAUGGCUCUCAUCCCAGUGGGUAAAGGCCACUGUAGAACAGACUCUAGUUUUUUAGGAUCCAUCUGAAACCCCGAGGCAGAAAUAUUAUAUCCUAAAUUGUCUUUCUGCUUCCGACAGUCUAGUGACAGCUGCAUGGGUUCGGGUUCGGGUUCGGACAGUACAGGAAUUUCAGGGACAAUAG